AGUGAACGCUGGCGGUAGGCCUAACACAUGCAAGUCGAACGGCAGCACGGUAAGAGCUUGCUCUUACGGGUGGCGAGUGGCGGACGGGUGAGGAAUACAUCGGAAUCUACUUUUUCGUGGGGGAUAACGUAGGGAAACUUACGCUAAUACCGCAUACGACCUACGGGUGAAAGCAGGGGAUCUUCGGACCUUGCGCGAUUGAAUGAGCCGAUGUCGGAUUAGCUAGUUGGCGGGGUAAAGGCCCACCAAGGCGACGAUCCGUAGCUGGUCUGAGAGGAUGAUCAGCCACACUGGAACUGAGACACGGUCCAGACUUCUACGGGAGGCAGCAGUGGGGAAUAUUGGACAAUGGGCGCAAGCCUGAUCCAGCCAUACCGCGUGGGUGAAGAAGGCCUUCGGGUUGUAAAGCCCUUUUGUUGGGAAAGAAAAGCAGCAGGUUAAUACCCCGCUGUUCUGACGGUACCCAAAGAAUAAGCACCGGCUAACUUCGUG
rnacentral:rRNA from 1 species